AGCUCCAAUAGCGUAUAUUAAAGUUGUUGCAGUUAAAAAGCUCGUAGUUGGAUUUGUGGUUGACGCUUGGCGACCUAUCACUUAGUGUUAGUGUUUGCCGGCGUUACCAUCCUUGGGUGGAGCCUGUGUGGCAUUAGGUUGUCGUGCAGGGGAUGCCCAUCGUUUACUGUGAGAAAAUUAGAGUGUUCAAAGCAGGCUUAUGCCGUAUGAAUAUGUUAGCAUGGAAUAAUAAGAUAGGACCUUGGUACUAUUUUGUUGGUUUGCGCACCGAGGUAAUGAUUAACAGGGACAGUUGGGGGGUAUUCGUAUUCCAUUGUCAGAGGUGAAAUUCUUGGAUUUCUGGAAGACGAACUACUGCGAAAGCAUUUACCAAAGG
rnacentral:rRNA from 1 species